UCUUUGUAAUUAGGGCUACAUCAUGCAUUUGUAUAUAUACUAAAGUUAUACCUCAGCUGCAUUUUAUCACAGCUGAGAUUUGUCCAGUACACAACUUAUCUUUAUAUUCUUCCCUUGUUAUGAGAGCCCUCAUGGCUAACGCCGGCAAUAAAACAGCCACCACAUGAAAGAACCAAUCCAAGGAGGACUUCUCAACAUCAAAAACUACAAAUGUGACAAUCCAGAGCAUCAUUAAAGCUGCCAGUAACUCAGAUUAUGAGAGCCAAACUUGGAGUGGUGAACAGACCUCUACCACUGCCAAGUUUGAGGAGGAAUAUUGAGACAAGCAUAACUAACGGCAAGUAGUUUUUUCCCUUAUGUAAAUGAGUUGACAACUCAUAUCCCUUUAUCCUCAUUAAGAAACUUGUAACAUCCUUACUUGUCUUUAUUAUUAGGGCUGCAUCAUGUGUUUUUAUAUAUACUAAAGUUAUACAUCAACUGCAUUUUGUCAUA